rnacentral:sRNA from 1 species
AAAGGGGGCGGCAGCGCCGGCGGAGCGGAGGCGGGUCUCACGUGGGCCAGCGCAGAGCCUGCGGAAGGGACGGAUGCGGAUCUCGUCGCUGUCACCUUGAAAGUGACCGAGGGGCUUGACUGUGGACUCCUUACGCCGCCCACCCGGGCCCGGCGGUCCCAGCCUUCUCGCAGGGCCCCUUCUCAGCAGAAGCAAGCGGGGCCGAGAAAGCGGGUGGAAUAGGGUUGCUGCAGGUCCCAAAGACCCCUCGUGGCGCCUCGCUACUUUCUGCAGCUUGUUUGCACUUUUUCACGCUCUAGAAAAAUCUCAUCUUAAUUAAGGGAACAACAAAGCAUUUAAUCUUCAGAGCAUCUUAGACUGAAAACCUUUCAACUGUGCUGAAAAACCUAGAAGACAGACCAUUUUGCCCACCCUCUCAUUUAAAAGGAAUUGAAGAAGAAAUAAAAUGGCAGAGGUUUAAGGUUACUAUUCAGGAUGACUGAUGAUAAUUCAGAUGAUAAAAUCGAAGAUGAAUUGCAAACCUUCUUUACCAGUGAUAAAGAUGGAAAUACACAUGCAUACAACCCGAAAUCACCACCUACACAAAACUCUUCAGCCAGCAGUGUGAAUUGGAAUUCUGCCAUCCCAGAUGACAUGGUGGUUGAUUAUGAAACUGACCCUGCUGUGGUUACUGGUGAAAAUAUUUCUUUAAGCCUUCAGGGUGUUGAAGUAUUUGGUCAUGAAAAGUCUUCUAGUGGUUUCAUUAGUAAGCAGGUGUUAGAUAUGCAUAAAGAUUCCAUUUGUCAGUCUCCUGCACUUGUAGGUACUGAGAAGCCCAAAUAUCUGCAACACAGUUGUCAUUCCCUAGAAGCAGUUGAGGGCCAGAGUGUUGAGCCAUCUUUGCCUUUUGUGUGGAAGCCUAAUGACAAUUUGAACUGUACAGGCUACUCUGAUGCCUUGGAGCUAAACCAAACAUUUGACAUGACAGUGGAUAAAGUUAACUGCACCUUUAUAUCACAUCAUGCCAUCGGAAAGAGUCAGUCCUUCCAUACUGCUGGAAGCCUGCCACCAACUGGUAGGAGGAGUGGAAGUACAUCUUCUUUAUCCUAUUCCACUUGGACAUCUUCCCAUUCUGAUAAGACGCAUGCAAGAGAAACUACUUAUGAUAGAGAAAGCUUUGAAAACCCUCAAGUCACACCAUCAGAAGCCCAAGACACGACUUACACAGCAUUUUCUGAUGUGGUGAUGCAAAGUGAGGUUUUUGUUUCAGAUAUUGGAAAUCAGUGUGCAUGUUCUUCAGGAAAGGUCACCAGUGAGUACACAGAUGGAUCACAACAAAGACUAGUUGGAGAAAAAGAGACACAAGCACUAACACCAGUUUCUGAUGGCAUGGAAGUCCCCAAUGAUUCUGCAUUACAAGAGUUCUUUUGUUUAUCCCAUGAUGAAUCCAAUAGCGAACCACAUUCACAGAGCUCAUACAGGCACAAGGAAGUGGGCCAAAAUCUGAGAGAGACAGUGUCCUAUUGUCUUAUGGAUGAUGAAUGCCCUUUAAUGGUGCCAGGUUUUGAUAAAAGCGAAGCUCAAGUGCUGAACCCAGAGCAUAAAGUCACUGAGACUGAAGACACACAAAUGGUCUCCAAAGGAAAGGAUUUGGGAACCCAAAAUCAUACCUCAGAAUUGAUUCUAAGUAGCCCGCCAGGACAAAAGGUGGGCUCGUCAUUUGGACUGACUUGGGAUGCAAAUGAUAUGGUCAUUAGCACAGACAAAACGAUAUGCAUGUCAACACCAGUCCUAGAACCCACAAAAGUAACCUUUUCUGUUUCACCGAUUGAAGCAACGGAGAAAUGUAAGAAAGUGGAGAAGGGUAAUCGAGGGCUUAAAAACAUACCAAACUCGAAGGAGGCACCUGUGAACCUGUGUAAACCUAGUUUAGGAAAAUCAACAAUCAAAACGAAUACCCCAAUAGGCUGCAAAGUUAGAAAAACUGAAAUUAUAAGUUACCCAAGACCAAACUUCAAGAAUGUCAAAGCAAAAGUUAUGUCUAGACCAGUGCUGCAGCCCAAAGAUGCUGCUUUAUCAAAGGUCACGCCCAGACCUCAGCUGACCAGUGCCUCAUCACCCUCAUCAGUGAUUUCAAGACAACAAACAGUCUUGAGCAGAACACCAAGAUCUGACUUGAAUGCAGACAAAAAAGCAGAAAUUCUAAUUAACAAGACGCAUAAGCAGCAGUUUAAUAAACUCAUUACUAGCCAGGCUGUGCAUGUUACAACUCAUUCUAAAAAUGCUUCACACAGGGUUCCAAGAACAACAUCUGCCGUGAAAUCGAAUCAGGAAGAUGUUGACAAAGUCAGUUCUUCUAACUCAGCAUGCGAGACCAGGUCCGUUUCUGCGUUGUUUCAGAAGAUCAAAGGCAUACUCCCUGUUAGAAUGGAAAGUGCAGAAUGUUUGGAAAUGACCUAUGUUCCCAACAUUGAUAGGAUUAGCCCUGAAAAGAAGGGUGAAAAAGAAAAUGGGACAUCUAUGGAAAAACAAGAGCUGAAACAAGAGAUUAUGAAUGAGACUUUUGAAUAUGGUUCUCUGUUUUUGGGCUCUGCUUCAAAAACAACGACCACCUCAGGUAGGAAUAUAUCCAAGCCUGACUCCUGCGGUUUGAGGCAAAUAGCUGCUCCAAAAGCUAAAGUGGGGCCCCCUGUUUCCUGUUUGAGGCGGAACAGUGACAAUAGAAAUCCCAGUGCUGAUCGAGCCGUAUCUCCUCAGAGGAUCAGGCGUGUGUCCAGUUCUGGAAAGCCUACAUCCUUGAAAACUGCACAGUCGUCAUGGGUGAAUUUGCCUAGACCACUUCCUAAAUCCAAAGCAUCUUUGAAAAGUCCUGCGCUGCGGAGGACAGGAAGCACCCCCUCAAUAGCCAGCACCCACAGUGAGCUGAGCACUUACAGCAACAAUUGUAAGUCGACUUUAUAUCACACUUCGGGGGUUGUGGAAACAGUCAUUACAAGAAAAACUAAUGCUCUGCAAAUAAUUAGAAUUUUUGUUUCUGGGGUUUCAGGAAAAAUAGGCAUACUGCUUCCUUGGAGUUGCUCUGAAAGUUUGGCAGAAAAAAAAUUCUUUGAAAAACACUCUUGAAAUAAUUAUGUGUUAAAGUAUAUUUUUGCAUGAAGGAUUCUAAAGUGCAUCAUCUGAAGUGAUGGUGUUUUGGAGGUUUAAGAGUAGCAACCCAGGGGAUUUGGACUCUAACUGGAAUCAGAAAAAAAGAUUAUUUCAGUUUCAUUUACUUUGCAAAAGACUAUCUCCUGUGGAAUCUUUGGAUGCUAGAUUUUGUGUAAUAGGACUAAUAUAACUUGAAUCCUAAUUCUAAAAAAUUGAAACUCAGGAGAA